rnacentral:rRNA from 1 species
UAGGGAAUCUUCCACAAUGGGCGAAAGCCUGAUGGAGCAACGCCGCGUGUGUGAUGAAGGGUUUCGGCUCGUAAAACACUGUUGUAAGAGAAGAAUGACAUUGAGAGUAACUGUUCUAUGUGUGACGGUAUCUUACCAGAAAGGAACGGCUAAAUACGUGCCUG